GAGGAAAGUGCGCCGUAUACUUUAUGUAUACUGACGUUAUCGUGAUUUUGCUAUUAACUAUAUACACCUAGUAGUGCGUUUCACGUUAACGCUGGGAACACGUAUUUGUUAAACGAGUGUUUAUAGUACCGGAGGAGUACACCGGCACAGACAAGAAGCAGACAGCGGUAACUACGAACAAACGCUAGCAACACGGUGAGGCGAGACGUCUCAGCAUUACUACAGCCACAUAGAAUAGACGUGGAAAUGCGGAGGAGUCUCGCUCCCAGUCAGAUUGCCAAACGCAAGCAGGAGGGAGACUACUGUGAAGAUGAGUGGACACAUAAACCUCACAUCGUGUUCUGCGACCUGAUUGGCUGUAGACCAUUGUCAAUCAAUCUCCUCCGUACCGCAUCUCCUGCACAGCACAGAAUGCGUCCAGCACGUCAAAUUUACAUUCGCUAGCAGUGUGACUCUGAAGUGCUGUACUGUAUGUUCAUGGG
ensembl:lncRNA